rnacentral:rRNA from 1 species
UACAGAGGUCUCAAGCGUUGUUCGGAUACAUUGGGCGUAAAGGGUGCGUAGGCGGCGCGGUAAGUCGGGUGUGAAAUCUCGGAGCUUAACUCCGAAACUGCAUUCGAUACUGCCGUGCUUGAGGACUGGAGAGGAGACUGGAAUUUACGGUGUAGCGGUGAAAUGCGUAGAUAUCGUAAGGAAGACCAGUGGCGAAGGCGGGUCUCUGGACAGUUCCUGACGCUGAGGCACGAAGGCCAGGGGAGCAAACGGG